GCUUCCUUCCUGGUUCUCCCUGCUCUGUGCUCUGGUUGGCUCACAUGGUGGGGGCCUAGGCUCUCUCCUAGGUUCUCUCUUCCUAGCCAGAGUGCUGGCUGGUCCCCAGGCACAUGGGGAUACUCCAUGCCUCAUCUCCUUAAAAUGCCACUUGGCCAUGGACAGAGGUUGCUCAAUGAGAUUUAAGUGGAGAUGAAGUGAAACCAUUCCAGGCAGAAGCACUGAAGAAUCAGUUUGGCUGUGUGCACACAGAGAAAAUGCCACAUGAGAAGCCAGGGAGGAGAUGGCCAUCUGUGAACAGAGAGGGCUGCAGGAGAAACCAAAUCUCUAGUGCCUUCAUCAUGCACUCUGUCCUCUGGAAGAGGGGAAGAGGAAAUUCAGCUGUGUGAGGCAGAAAAGGAUUUUCUUCUCUGAGAUGCAGCAGGGUGGGGGCCUGUUAGGCAUCAUUGGCCUGGCGAUAUUUCCUGGUGUCCUCAUUUUCCAGCGCGGCUGGUAGAAGUGGAGAGUGGGUCCCAGCCCUGCAGUGCCUUCUGCUACCCGCUGCAGGGGUCUUUCCGCGUCCUCUCCCUCCAUAGAGCUGCCAUGCGCUCUUCUCCAGGGAACAGCUGUCCUGUUCUCAGAUAGAUGAUGUUGAAGCUGUUAGUUUUUUCUUACAAAUUCACCACUUUGCAUCAGCAGCCCUUCUGGAAUUCUCUACCAAUGCAAGAAUGUGGAAAACAAAGUGGAAGGGAAGGGAAACAAUGGCAGCGUGAGGAACAAGAAAGAAAAAGAUGGAUCAUGCAAGCCCGGAAAUGCAGCGGUGGCAGAGUGACACCAGAAGUCACUUUCCAUUUCUCCUGGAGGAACUGGCCUUUCUGGGCCGCCCUGCUCUGUGGUUUUCUGGUUUCUAUAAUUGAAUGGAUGUAAUUAAAUGGAUAUAUGAAUGGCAUUGCUUAUGAUUAUAUAACAGUCCAAGCCGCUCAGUGUUGUGUGAAAGUGAAUGAGCCCCACAUUUUAGUAAGUUGUGAGCCUGCUUUGGCAGCUGUUGUACUGUGAUAAAUGAUUGGAGAAUUAAUUAAUUGAAGAGGUUAUGAUACUAUUAAAAUAUAUUUCUGCCAAGCAGCAAUAGCGAAAAUUCAUUGUUAGUCAAUGCGUGUUCACUAUUCAUUAACGAGAUUUUUCCCCUUCUAGUAUUAUAUGUAUUCUUUUUGGAACACAUCUCUAUUAGAUUGUGUAUUAAAAAUGUAUUUAUGGGACUGGGCACCAACUUUUAUCUUCUCAUAAAGGACGCUACUUUUAUGAAAGAGGUCAACAUCUCCUUGUUUCAAAGCUGCUUUUU